GGGCUCGUAGCUCAACAGUAGAGCGCUCGCUUGGCGUGCGAGAGGCCAGGGGUGCGAAAGAACAAAGGUCUCGACUGUCGAGUCCAGUGUUUCGUCUCUCCCCUCGAGUCCA
rnacentral:tRNA from 1 species